UUACUGCUAUCGAGAUUCGAUUAAGCCAUGCGAGUUGAAUGUUAUUCGUGAACAUGGCGGACUGCUCAGUAACACGUGGACAACCUACCCUUGGAUCUGGGAUAAACCCGGGAAACUGGGCAUAAUACCGGAUAAGCCACAUAUGCUGGAAUGCUUUGUGGCUCAAAGCUCCGGCGUCCAAGGAUGGGUCUGCGGCCUAUCAGGGUAGUAGUGGGUGUAAUGUACCUAAUAGCCUACGACGGGUACGGGUUGUGAGAGCAAGAGCCCGGAGAUGGAUUCUGAGACACGAAUCCAGGCCCUACGGGGUGCAGCAGGCGCGAAAACUUUACAAUGCGGGAAACCGCGAUAAGGGAAUCUCGAGUGCCAGCAUAUAAUGUUGGCUGUCCAGAUGCCUAAAAAGCAUUUGUUAGCAAGGGCCGGGCAAAACCGGUGCCAGCCGCCGCGGUAACACCGGCGGCCCGAGUGGUAACCGUUAUUAUUGGGUCUAAAGGGUCUGUAGCCGGCCGAAUAAGUCUCUUGGGAAAUCUGGCAGCUUAACUGUCAGGCAGUCAGGGGAUACUGUUCGGCUUGGGACCGGGAGAGGUGAGAGGUACCUCGGGGGUAGGGGUGAAAUCUUGUGAUCCUCGAGGGACCACCAGUGGCGAAGGCGUCUCACCAGAACGGGUCCGACGGUAAGGGACGAAAGCUAGGGGCACGAACCGGAUUAGAUACCCGGGUAGUCCUAGCCGUAAACGAUGCUUGCUACGUGUCAGCCACGGUGCGACCGUGGUUGGUGCCGUAGGGAAGCCGUGAAGCGAGCCACCUGGGAAGUACGGCCGCAAGGCUGAAACUUAAAGGAAUUGGCGGGGGAGCACUACAACGGGUGGAGCUGCG
rnacentral:rRNA from 1 species